UACGUAGGCAGCGAGCGUUGUUCGGAGUUACUGGGCGUAAAGAGUGCGUAGGCGGUUUUCUAAGUUUGGUGUGAAAUCUCCCGGCUUAACUGGGAGGUGCGCCGAAAACUGGAAGGCUAGAGUAUGGGAGAGGUAAGCGGAAUUCCUGGUGUAGCGGUGAAAUGCGCAGAUAUCAGGAGGAACACCGGUGGCGAAGGCGGUUCUCUGGGCCUUACCUGACGCUGAGGAGCGAAAGCAUGGGGAGCAAACAGG
rnacentral:rRNA from 1 species